rnacentral:rRNA from 1 species
AUCCACAUCCAUACCGCCCUGAAUGUGCCCAGUCUCAUCUAAUUUCAGAAGCUGAGCAGAGUUGGGCCUUUGAAUGGGAGAUCUUCCUGGAAAUACUGGGUGCGGUAGGCU